GUUCUACGUUUUUCCAAUCCUAUUUCGAGUUUUUAAUGUUAAAAAAUGCAGAAAUGACCAAAUUAAUGCUAAUUAGUACCCAUUUUGCCAACUUUAACCAUCUUUAAUUCAAAAUCGGCUUGAAAAUCGCACUAGUCGCUUAAGUUAUCUUAUAUAUAGUUUUUUACGCUAUUUCUAGUGGUAUAGUUUAUUUUUCGUAUAAGAGAACACGAAAUUUUACAUUUUUUCCGAUCAUAGUAAUUUAAUAGGCAAAAUUUUAAAAUUCUCAAAUUUUUGGCUAUAAAGCAAAAAUCAGAAGUGGUAACACACACAGUC
rnacentral:lncRNA from 1 species